UACAGAGGGGGCAAGCGUUGUUCGGAAUUACUGGGCGUAAAGGGCGCGUAGGCGGCCUGCUAAGUCGAACGUGAAAUCCCUGGGCUCAACCCAGGAACUGCGUCCGAUACUGGUUGGCUUGAAUCCGGGAGAGGGAUGCGGAAUCCAGGUGUAGCGGUGAAAUGCGUAGAUAUCAGGAGGAACACCGAUGGCGAAGGCAGGUCUCUGGGCUGACACUGACGUCAUGCACGAAAGCGUGGGGAGCAAACAGG
rnacentral:rRNA from 1 species